rnacentral:rRNA from 1 species
GUUUAAGCCGCCGCGGUAAUACGUAGGGGGCUAGCGUUGUCCGGAAUCAUUGGGCGUAAAGAGCGCGUAGGCGGCCAGAUAAGUCCGGUGUGAAAGUCACAGGCUCAACCUGUGAAUGCCGCUGGAAACUGUCUGGCUAGAGUCCGGAAGGGGCGAGUGGAAUUCCUGGUGUAGCGGUGAAAUGCGCAGAUAUCAGGAGGAACACCAAUGGCGAAGGCAGCUCGCUGGAACGGUACUGACGCUGUGGCGCGAAAGCGUGGGGAGCAAACAGGAUUAGAUACCCGGGUAGUCC